UGGGGGAAAAUUCCAUCUAAAAAUUGUUCUUAUGGAAAGCUUUAAGUCUGUGUUCCCCUCAGCUGUAAGGAGGAAAACAGAUAAAAACCUAGAGUCAAAACCUUAGGUCUUUAGUCUACAAGAAAAUGCAAACAUAAACUCCUCCAUAUACCUUAUUGACAGGCAUCAAUGCUGCACAAAUAAUUCCAUGGGGUCUAGGAACCUACACUUUAGAUUUCUUAUAUUUACCAUAAAGGAAUAAGUUUUGAGUGAAUUUGGGGUAACAAAUCCAUGGUGUGUGCCACGGUUCUUAGAGAAUCUAUAAACUUAGUAGAAAAGUGACAUUAAUGUAGGCCUUAUGAAAUCUUAAAUAGAGGUGUAAUAUCACAGAGUUAUUCUACUUCUGCUGUCUCUAAUCUAGUUUUAAUAAUAUUCUUUUUAGGGGGAAAUUUCAGAUAUGAAACAUGAUAUUUUAAGAACAACAAAAAAGAUAUUAAUGUAAAAACAGGGCUAAAUGCUUCCAACAUUUGAGGAAGAAAUCUGGUCAUUAACAAGGUAGUUAAUUUGAUUUUUAAGUAACUCAUGCAAGUAAUUUUGUUCUGCAAUAUGUUACAUAAGAUACUGUGAUAGUGUCUGAGAAGGCAUAAAAGUUUAAAAUCUAUAUUUAAAUUCUGACAUAUGCAAAUUUACACAUAUCCAAAUGAGAUGAUUAGACUAGUGUUAGAAUAUUUCUAAAUUUCUAUUUAAAUUUAUAAAUCCUAUUAAGAUAAAAGGUUUAGAGAAACACCUGUGCUUUGAUGUCAGCUCUGAGAACCUGUUUGAAAUACAAGGUUGGCUUAUGGGCAUGUGUUAAAGGAAAUUGUGAAGGAGGUGGUUCAAUAUUCCAUUGCUAUUACCAUAUAGUCCUUUUUUAAUCUACCACUUUCCAGUUUCCAGUUUCCUCAAAGCUAACUAUUCUAUUCUUGAAAAUAAAUGAUAAGACUAAUAGGCUCUGGGGUAACAAUGAGCAGUUGAGAUGAUCUUGGCAAAAAAAGAAAAGAAAAGAAAAGAAAAUUGGACUUGAACUUGCUUAUAAGAACGUAUAUUGAUGUGACAGGGUGCUCUGAUACUAGGCAAGCUCCAAACGUCCUAGGUUUAACCUCUUAUUUUUUCUGUUGUCUUUCAUACUGUAGUUUUAACAUAGAGGGGAAGCUCUUUAAGUCUUUCUAGGUUUCUCAUUCAGACCUUAUAAUGUCUACAGGAAGUCCUCUUGGGUUUCUUUCACAGCACAGAAUCAUGGACGCAAUACUCAGAAGCGAUCACCUAAGUCUUUCCUUCGCAUCUCAUUAGUCACAAUCAGUCAUCUCUCCUUCAAAUUCAACAACUGACAGUAGAAAUGAAGGUGCUGUGGUGAUCUUGGACCAGUCAGCAUAUGUUACUGAAAUCUGGUAAGCAGUCACCUUUUGUGGUGGAGUGGUGGACAAAAACACAAAACCAACAUCUUAUCAGAAAGGAUUAAGGCAGUGAAUUGUUCUUGGGGAGGCAGCCAACUGGGGCAGCCAUUUAAUUUAACAGAUUAGAAGAACGAUUUAUUUUCUUAAAAAGGGCCAUAAAAUAAUUGGAUGAACUCACAAAGGUAUAAGUGUUGUCCUUAAUAAGAGACAAAUUUGGGAGUCAAUUUUGAGUCAGUUUUACAGGAUCCUUUAUAUUACAUGGUGAACGAAACCCUGUAUUACACCUUUAAGCAAAAUAAAUGUUCUUUACAUUAAAUAUCAAUUUUUACUUCAUUUAAAUAGAAACAAGGAGAAUAAUUAUAUUUAAAUAAAGUUGACAUUUUUAAUGUUUUUUAACCAUUUCUUGUGUUAAAAAUAGAAAAUUUUGCAGGAGGUGAACAUAGAUUACAUAGGUCAUCCAUAUUCUAUAUGCUAGACUCAUUGCUAUUCCAACAGCAUGAUGAUGUUUUAUUCUAAUUAUAGCACUUUAUAGGCUUAUGUUGAGCAAAACAAUUAUUUGAUAAUACCAUAAAAAUGGCCAAAAUCUACAUAUGUCUAUUUAUGAAUCAUAUUUACAGCUCAGAAUGAAACAGUGAAUUUUCCAUAGAAGGAACUCAAAAAUUUUACUUGAUGAAUUGGUUAAUGAACAAGGCCAUUUACUGACAACUUUCUGUAUGCCAGAAAGUUUAUUAUCAACUUAUUUAAUACUAACUACAACAUUGCAAGAAUGGUAUAUUUUCCCCAUUUUACAGAUGAGAUGGAGUAUAUUAAAUAUUUUUCUCUGAAGACAAAGAUUAGCUGACAGCCCAUUUUCUUUGUGGAAUGCUUCUAUUUGGAUUGACAGUUGUUGAAAGACACAGACUGAGUACCUACGUUUUUAUAGUGACAUAAUCAAAGAAAAUGUUAUUGAAGAAAAUGGUGGAAAGAAUAGCUGUUUUACUUAGCAGUGAGAGAUACAUUUCUCAGUUCAGAGCAUGCCGGUAUACUCCAUAACCUGUAUAAAAAUUAACAUAAGUUUUUAAAUUAACAUGACAGAAGACUUUUAGUAUGGCUAACAAUGUAUAAAACUUGUAGCUAUGGCUGAGCAAUGGCUUCACUUUUUCAACCAUAUCAGAAUUCAAAUUGGUUUAAGUUAUCAUGAUACAUAGUCUAAGUUAUUUAUACUAAAUUGGAAGUGACCGCAGUCUCUGUAAUAGCAGUAGGAUAUCUUUUAUAGAUCUUUAUAAAGCCUUUAUAUAAAAGUAUAAAAUGUGUAUACUUUGUAAUAUUUUACUGAUAUAAUCUAAAGCCAAAUGCACUUGAAACAUCUUUUCCUUUCCUUCCUUUUAGUUUUCUUGUAGUUGCCUAUGAUCUAUAAAAGGCAAAAAAUCUCAUUUGAAUAGAGUAAAAGGAUUAGUUAUUACUUGUGCAUAGACAAACUUUUAAGGAUUCAGCUGUGUCAGUGAUAGAUGGAUAGACUGCUGAGAAACCAUUUGAGAUUUCUGUGAUUAGGUUAGACAGGUCCCAACUCCUAUUAGUAAGUGUUGCCUUGUUCUGUUACAGAGAGGAGGCAGCUGUCUUCUUCAGUUUUCCCCCUGGUGCUGUCUGCUUUAACUGAGCCUAUAACAUUUUCGACAAGCAAAUCAGGAAGGACUUUGCAGACAGAUGGCGAAGCUGCCUAUGCUGUCUCAUUUACAUGCAACUGUGGUUCCUAGUUGUACUUGAGCCAUAUGCAGGGGUUUCGUGUUCCCUUUGGAUUGGUUUUAAGUGCUAGGCAGACAAGUCAAAUCUACCUUGGUCUACAUUUUCCUCACAUGAUUUAAUUCAAUGAUGUUAUGCAGAGUGUCUAUCAAAAGAACUUUUGAAACUAAAAUCUUGGCUGAGUGCCAAAAUUGGUACCAAACAUAGUUAGUGAGAAUAGUGCCCUAGGAGACUUACUCACAGGAAAUGAAGACCAGAUUAUAUAAUUUAUAAGGUAAAAUAAAAUGAAACCAUAAAGAAAUUCUACUUGGGAUUUUGAAUUGCUGAAGUCUAAUGGUAGUCUAUCAAAGUACCUCUAAUACACUGGGCAAAUUAUGUAUUUUCCAUUAUGGGUUGAUCUGAAGAUAAACUAGUAUUAAAAAAUAUGCAGGGAGUUCCUGAGGUGGCACAGUGGAAACGAAUCCGACUGAGGUUGCGGGUUCGAUCCCUGGCCUCGCUCAGUGGGUUAAGGAUCUGGUGUUGCUGUGAGCUGUGGUGUAGAUCUCAGAUGGGGCUUGGAUCUGGCAUUGCUGUGGCUGUGUUGUAGACCAGUGACUACAGCUCCAACUGAACCCCUAUCCUGGUAACCUCUAUAUGCCGCAAGUGUGGCCCUAAAAAGACAAAAAUACCAAAAAAAAAAAAAUGCAAACAUUUUAACUCUUGCUUAUAACAUAUGCUUUUGAUAAUAUAUCAAGUGAACAGCAAGUCCAAAUUUUGUGGAGAAAUUUUUGCCAUGAUAACUAAAACUUUGUUAUUCAUCAGAACAAGUAAUGUCUCAGGAAAUCACACAACUAUAUAUUAUAUUUUAUUUAAAAUAAAAAAAAUGAAUUACUAGAGUUGAAGAUGAUAAUAAAUAAUUUAAGUAAUUAUUAUUAUUAUUAUUUUUUUUUUUUGGUCUUUUUGCUUUUUCCAGGGCCGCUUCCCAUGGCAUAUCGAGGUUCCCAGGCUAGGGGUCUAAUUGGAGCUGUAGCCACCAGCUUACGUCAGAGCCACAGCAAUGCGGGAUCCGAGCCGUGUCUGUGACCUACACCACAGCUCACAGCAACGCGGGAUCCUUAACCUACUUCCUUAAGGCCAGGGAUGGAACCCGCAACCUCAUGGUUCCCAGUCGGAUCCGUUAACCAUUGCACCACGAUGGGAACUCCUAAGUAACUACUUUUUACCCUAAAUUUUAAAUUAUGACAGAGUGCUUAAAUGUAUUUCAACAUGUUCUGUUAAGAAAUUUAUUUCCUAUAAUUUUGUUGUCUUCUAUGAUUCAUAAUCAAACAUAUAAAAAUAUUGUAUAUAUUAUGUUUCUAUAAUAAAAAUAUCUCACUUUAAAAAAUAAAAUUAUAGAAUUUUGAAAAUAUUUGAAAGAAAUCUACCUGUAAUGCUAUUAGCUCCAAUUACUAGCAUCAUACACAUUUCUUUCAUAUAUUAAACAUAAUUGAGAGCAAUCUGUAUAAACAAAUUAUUGCCUUAUAUUUCUUAUUAAACUCUAAACCACAAGUAUAUCCCAAAGCUAAUUCAAUUAACUUCAAAAAACUUUUUUUAAGCUGCAAUCAUUACUUUAUAGAUGCCACAGCAUAUGGAAGAUGAUUAUCAUUUUUACACAUUUGCACUAUUAUAAAUAAUUCUGUUUUGAAUAUUUUGGGAUAAAUACUUGUUUUUAAUUUAAGUGAUUUCCUUAGGAAACAUUUCUAGAUUAAAAUUACAUUGAAGAGUGAGAUUUUUUAUAAUUUUAUUACAUAUUAACCAUUGCCUUCAGAAAAAUUUAUGGUGAUUUAGCCUAUCACUGUUAGUGUGUACAUUUAUCAAACACUGCUAUAUACUUAUCUGCUAGGAUAUAUUUGGUAGUAAACAAUAUCAAUAUCAAUCUGAUUGCAUAAAUUUUCUCAUAAGCAGUUUACUGGAGGAGCAGUGUUCAUAAAUGUUUAAUUCUGUGAUGUAGCAACAUCUUUGGAUGGAGAUUACUGUUUUCCUUUUCUCUGUUAAUGUCAGUGUUAAAUUCAUCCAUAUGUUGCUAGAAUUCUGAGAACUGACCGAAAUCUAAAUCUCCAGCCAUCAUUUAAACGUGAUAAUGUCUGGAGGGCGAAAAACAGGAUUAAUCAUUCUUUUCUAUGGUUUUGUCUUUGGAGAUAGCAAACUUU
rnacentral:lncRNA from 1 species